AACUUAUUGCACUAGUUCAGUAGUGCAGCUAAAAAGAACAGACCAAGAGAGAGAAGAAUAUCGGCACGUGAAUUCGAGUCGAACACGAGCAACGUGAUCGCAACGUUGGUAGUUUACGUCGAGCAAUGAGCGACAGCAAAGGUUUGACAAUUGCGCAUUUCGGUUUUGAAGCUUCCUAACCUCAAAGAUAUCACAAUGCUGCGCUCACAUUUUCGACUGAAAGUUGACUUGUCCAAGUUUUUUCACGAUGUGCGUCGGAUCUGCUAAAUUUUUAUUGAUUGAUCACUAAGAUAUUUGGCAUAAGAGAACCAUUUCAUUUGUUGUUGAACGAUGCCGAAUAUCUGCCACCGAUGGAGAAUAUUCGCAUUCUCAUCGAAAACGAGAUGAUCAAGUUAAAGCAUGUCACAAUAUUUCACACGAUAAUGUUGUCG